CCAACAUCCUAACAACCAUUAGCAAAUAUCUUAACAGCAUCUACAAGCUAGCAAAUGCAUAUUAUCAGCACAAAGAGAGAGAGAGACAGAGAUAGAGAGAGAGAGAGACACAAAGAGAGAGAGAGAGAGAGAAGG